UUCUUCCUACGGGGCGCAGCAGUGGGGGAUAUUGCACAAUGGGGGGAACCCUGAUGCAGCGACGCCGCGUGGGUGAAGAAGCGCCUCGGCGCGUAAAGCCCUGUCAGCAGGGAAGAAAAUGACGGUACCUGACUAAGAAGCCCCGGCUAACUACGUGCCAGCAGCCGCGGUAAUACGUAGGGGGCAAGCGUUAUCCGGAUUUACUGGGUGUAAAGGGAGCGUAGACGGCGGCGCAAGUCCGGAGUGAAAGCCCACGGCCCAACC
rnacentral:rRNA from 1 species